rnacentral:rRNA from 1 species
GUGGAUUAGAUACCCUGGUAGUCCACGCCAUAAACGAUGGGCACUAGGUGUCGCGGGUAUUGACCCCUGCGGUGCCGAAGCUAACGCAUUAAGUGCCCCGCCUGGGGAAUACGGCCGCAAGGUUAAAACUCAAAGGAAUUGACGGGGGCCCGCACAAGCGGUGGAGCAUGUGGUUCAAUUCGACGCAACGCGAAGAACCUUACCUGGGCUAGACAACAUCGGACAGUCCUAGAGAUAGGAUUUUCCCUUCGGGGACCGGUGGUUCAGGUGCUGCACGGCUGUCGACAACU